AGAGUUUGAUCCUGGCUCAGAUUGAACGCUGGCGGCAUGCCUUACACAUGCAAGUCGAACGGCAGCACGGGGGGCGACCCCUGGUGGCGAGUGGCGAACGGGUGAGUAAUGCAUCGGAACGUGCCCGGUAGUGGGGGAUAACCCCGAGAAAUCGGGGCUAAUACCGCAUGAGCCCGGGAGGGGAAAGCGGGGGACCUGAUGAGGGCCUCGCGCUAUCGGAGCGGCCGAUGUCCGAUUAGCUGGUUGGUGGGGUAAAGGCCCACCAAGGCGACGAUCGGUAGCGGGUCUGAGAGGACGGCCCGCCACACUGGGACUGAGACACGGCCCAGACUCCUACGGGAGGCAGCAGUGGGGAAUUUUGGACAAUGGGCGAAAGCCUGAUCCAGCCAUGCCGCGUGCGGGAAGAAGGCCUUCGGGUUGUAAACCGCUUUCGGCCGGGACGAAAUCGCCCGCAUGAACAGUGUGGGUGGAUGACGGUACUGGCAGAAGAAGCACCGGCUAACUACGUGCCAGCAGCCGCGGUAAUACGUAGGGUGCGAGCGUUAAUCGGAAUUACUGGGCGUAAAGCGUGCGCAGGCGGCCCUUUAAGUCAGGUGUGAAAGCCCCGGGCUUAACCUGGGAAUGGCGCUUGAAACUGGAGGGCUUGGAGUGCGGCAGAGGGGGGUGGAAUUCCUGGUGUAGCGGUGAAAUGCGUAGAGAUCAGGAGGAACACCGAUGGCGAAGGCAGCCCCCUG
rnacentral:rRNA from 1 species